UGUUUAUCAAAAACAUGUCUUUUUGAAUAUAAUAUAAAGUCUAACCUGCCCACUGAUAAUAUUAAAGGGCCGCGGUAUAUUGACUGUGCAAAGGUAGCAUAAUCAUUUGUCUUUUAAUUGAAGGCUAGAAUGAAUGGUUGAAUGAAAUAUUAACUGUCUCAUUUUUAAAAAAAUAAAAAUUUAGUUUUUUAGUUAAAAAGCUAAAAUAAAUUUAGAGGACGAGAAGACCCUAUAGAUCUUUAUAUUUAUAAAAUUUUUAUGAUAUAGAAAAAUAUUUAAUAAAAUUUUUAUAAAUAUUUUGUUGGGGUGACAGGAAAAUUAAUUAAACUUUUCAUAUUAAAUUACAUAGAUUUAUGAAUUAUUGAUCCAUUUUUAGUGAUUAUAAGAUUAAGUUACCUUAGGGAUAACAGCGUAAUUUUUUUAGAGAGUUCUUAUCGAUAAAAAAGAUUGCGACCUCGAUGUUGAAUUAAAGGUUAUUUCUAGAUGCAGAAGUUUAGAGUUUAGGUCUGUUCGACCUUUGAAUCUUUACAUGAUCUGA
rnacentral:rRNA from 1 species